rnacentral:rRNA from 1 species
CAGCAGCCGCGGUAAUACGUAGGUGGCAAGCGUUGUCCGGAGUUAUUGGGCGUAAAGGGCUCGCAGGUGGUUUCUUAAGUCUGAUGUGAAAGCCCCCGGCUCAGCCGGGGAGGGUCAUUGGAAACUGGGAAACUUGAGUGCAGAAGAGGAGAGUGGAAUUCCACGUGUAGCGGUGAAAUGCGUAGAGAUGUGGAGGAACACCAGUGGCGAAGGCGACUCUCUGGUCUGUAACUGACGCUGAGGAGCGAAAGCGUGGGGAGCGAACAGGAUUAGAUACCCCAGUAGUCCCUGUCUCUUAUAC